GACGAACGCUGGCGGCGUGCUUAACACAUGCAAGUCGAACGGAAAGGCCCUGCUUUUGUGGGGUGCUCGAGUGGCGAACGGGUGAGUAACACGUGAGUAACCUGCCCUUGACUUUGGGAUAACUUCAGGAAACUGGGGCUAAUACCGGAUAGGAGCUCCUGCUGCAUGGUGGGGGUUGGAAAGUUUCGGCGGUGGGGGAUGGACUCGCGGCUUAUCAGCUUGUUGGUGGGGUAGUGGCUUACCAAGGCUUUGACGGGUAGCCGGCCUGAGAGGGUGACCGGCCACAUUGGGACUGAGAUACGGCGCAGACUCCUACGGGAGGCAGCAGUGGGGAAUAUUGCACAAUGGGCGGAAGCCUGAUGCAGCAACGCCGCGUGCGGGAUGACGGCCUUCGGGUUGUAAACCGCUUUCGCCUGUGACGAAGCGUGAGUGACGGUAAUGGGUAAAGAAGCACCGGCUAACUACGUG
rnacentral:rRNA from 1 species